GCUACCUUGCCUUCCUGAUGUACUCUGCCCCCUGCAGCUGUAAGCUGAGACACGCCCUUCCAUCCUAAACUUGCCUUUGUCAGGAAGAAGAAGAAAAGACUAUCAUGGUGAUGUGGACUGAGACUUCAGACACUAUAGACCGUGUGAAAUCCAGGCUGUGAAAGUGGCUCAAGUGGGUAAAGCACUUGCCUUAUGUGUGUGAGGACCUGCAUUUGAGUCUCCAGCACUCCUCCUGGGAUGUGGGAAGUGGAGAACCCCCUGGAGCAGGCAGUUGAGUACCAGAAUGGGUAUGUGGCGAUCAGAAGAUAACCUGGAGUGUUCACUCACUCCUUCAAUGUGAGACCCAGGGAUCAAACUCACGUCCUCAGCACUUGACAGCAAGUGCCUUUACUUUGCCCCUGAGCCAUCUCACUGACUCUGGCACGCCAUAUAUUUAAUCAGUAACUUUUUUUUUCUUGUUAGUAAUAAAUAAUGAAUAAAUAAAUAAA
ensembl:lincRNA Gm14216 predicted gene 14216